rnacentral:rRNA from 1 species
AUACGGAGGAUGCGAGCGUUAUCCGGAUUUAUUGGGUUUAAAGGGAGCGUAGGUGGGAUAUUAAGUCAGCUGUGAAAGUUUGGGGCUCAACCUUAAAAUUGCAGUUGAUACUGGUUUCCUUGAGUACGGUACAGGUGGGCGGAAUUCGUGGUGUAGCGGUGAAAUGUUUAGAUAUCACGAAGAACUCCGAUCGCGAAGGCAGCUCACCGGGCCGGAACUGACACUGAUGCUCGAAAGUGCGGGUAUCAAACAGGAUUAGAUACCCUGGUAGUCCGCACAGUAAACGAUGAAUACUCGCUGUUUGCGAUACACGGUAAGCGGCCAAGCGAAAGCGUUAAGUAUUCCACCUGGGGAAUACGCCGGCAACGGUGAAACUCAAAGGAAUUGACGGGG